UGAGGAAUAUUGGUCAAUGGGCGAGAGCCUGAACCAGCCAAGUCGCGUGAGGGAGUACUGCCCUAUGGGUUGUAAACCUCUUUUGUCGGGGAGCAAAAGCCGGACG
rnacentral:rRNA from 1 species